ACGCUGGCGGCAGGCCUAACACAUGCAAGUCGAGCGGUAGCACAAGAGAGCUUGCUCUCUGGGCGACGAGCGGCGGACGGGUGAGUAAUGUCUGGGAAACUGCCUGAUGGAGGGGGAUAACUACUGGAAACGGUAGCUAAUACCGCAUGACCUCGCAAGAGCAAAGUGGGGGACCUUCGGGCCUCACGCCAUCGGAUGUGCCCAGAUGGGAUUAGCUAGUAGGUGGGGUAAUGGCUCACCUAGGCGACGAUCCCUAGCUGGUCUGAGAGGAUGACCAGCCACACUGGAACUGAGACACGGUCCAGACUCCUACGGGAGGCAGCAGUGGGGAAUAUUGCACAAUGGGCGCAAGCCUGAUGCAGCCAUACCGCGUGUGUGAAGAAGGCCUUAGGGUUGUAAAGCACUUUCAGCGAGGAGGAAGGGUUCAGUGUUAAUAGCACUGAGCAUUGACGUUACUCGCAGAAGAAGCACCGGCUAACUCCGUGCCAGCAGCCGCGGUAAUACGGAGGGUGCAAGCGUUAAUCGGAAUUACUGGGCGUAAAGCGCACGCAGGCGGUUUGUUAAGUCAGAUGUGAAAUCCCCGAGCUUAACUUGGGAACUGCAUUUGAAACUGGCAAGCUAGAGUCUUGUAGAGGGGGGUAGAAUUCCAGGUGUAGCGGUGAAAUGCGUAGAGAUCUGGAGGAAUACCGGUGGCGAAGGCGGCCCCCUGGACAAAGACUGACGCUCAGGUGCGAAAGCGUGGGGAGCAAAC
rnacentral:rRNA from 1 species